GAUGAACGCUGGCGGCGUGCCUAAUACAUGCAAGUCGAGCGAACAGACGAGGAGCUUGCUCCUCUGACGUUAGCGGCGGACGGGUGAGUAACACGUGGAUAACCUACCUAUAAGACUGGGAUAACUUCGGGAAACCGGAGCUAAUACCGGAUAAUAUAUUGAACCGCAUGGUUCAAUAGUGAAAGACGGUUUUGCUGUCACUUAUAGAUGGAUCCGCGCCGCUUUAGCUAGUUGGUAAGGUAACGGCUUACCAAGGCAACGAUGCGUAGCCGACCUGAGAGGGUGAUCGGCCAUACUGGAACUGAGACACGGUCCAGACUCCUACGGGAGGCAGCAGUAGGGAAUCUUCCGCAAUGGGCGAAAGCCUGACGGAGCAACGCCGCGUGAGUGAUGAAGGUCUUCGGAUCGUAAAACUCUGUUAUUAGGGAAGAACAAAUGUGUAAGUAACUAUGCACGUCUUGACGGUACCUAAUCAGAAAGCCACGGCUAACUACGUG
rnacentral:rRNA from 1 species